GGACUACCAGGGUUUCUAAUCCCGUUCGCUCCCCUGGCUUUCGUGUCUCAGCGUCAGCAGAUCCCCAGCAGACUGUUUUCACCUUCGGCGUUCCAAGUGAUAUCUACGCAUUUCACCGCUCCACCACUUGUUCCAUCUGCCCCUAGAUCGCUCAAGACCGCCAGUAUGCCCAGCAAUUCCCCGGUUGAGCCGGGGGAUUUCACAAGACACUUAACGGCCCGCCUACACACGCUUUAAGCCCAGUGAUUCCGCCUAACGCUCGGCACCUCUGUCUUACCGCGGCGGCUGGCAC
rnacentral:rRNA from 1 species